AGUCGUUCCGAGGGGGGCUCCGACGAGGAGCUGAGAUACCGCAAGCUUGCACUUUUCCUGUUCCGGAAGAGACGCGCGAGACCGCGGUGACCCUUUGAACCUGAUCCGGGUCAUGCCGGCGAAGGGACAGGGAUGUUUCAGACUA
rnacentral:ncRNA from 2 species